rnacentral:rRNA from 1 species
UACGAAGGGUGCAAGCGUUAAUCGGAAUUAUUGGGCGUAAAGAGCUCGUAGGCGGUUUGUUGCGUCGGCUGUGAAAUCCCGAGGCUCAACCUCGGGUCUGCAGUCGAUACGAGCAAACUAGAGUGUUGCAGGGGAGACUGGAAUUCCUGGUGUAGCGGUGAAAUGCGUAGAGAUCGGGAGGAACAUCAGUGGCGAAGGCGGCCAUCUGGGACAACACUGACGCUGAAGCACGAAAGCGUGGGGAGCAAACAGG